GUCCUUGUAGUAUAACUAUUACUUUGGUUUUGUAAACCAAGAAUGAAGGAAAUCAACCUCCCUAGGACU
ensembl:Mt_tRNA